UACGUAGGGUGCGAGCGUUGUCCGGAAUUAUGGGGCGUAAAGGGCUCGUAGGCGGUCUGUCACGUCAGGAGUGAAAACUCGGGGCUCAACCCCGAGCCUGCUUCUGAUACGGGCAGACUGGAGGUAUGCAGGGGAGAACGGAAUUCCUGGUGUAGCGGUGAAAUGCGCAGAUAUCAGGAGGAACACCGGUGGCGAAGGCGGUUCUCUGGGCAUUACCUGACGCUGAGGAGCGAAAGUGUGGGGAGCGAACAGG
rnacentral:rRNA from 1 species